GAGUUUGAUCGUGGCUCAGAACGAACGCUGGCGGCAGGCUUAACACAUGCAAGUCGAGCGCCCAGCAAUGGGAGCGGCGCACGGGUGAGUAACACGUGGGAACGUGCCCUAUGGUUCGGAAUAACGCAGGGAAACUUGCGCUAAUACCGGAUAAGCCCUUACGGGGAAAGAUUUAUCGCCAUUGGAGCGGCCCGUGUUGGAUUAGCUAGUUGGUGGGGUAAAAGCCUACCAAGGCAACGAUCCAUAGCUGGUCUGAGAGGAUGAUCAGCCACAUUGGGACUGAGGCACAGCCCAGACUCCUACGGGAGGCAGCAGUGGGGAAUUUUGGACAAUGGGGGCAACCCUGAUCCAGCAAUGCCGCGUGUGUGAAGAAGGCCUUCGGUUGU
rnacentral:rRNA from 1 species